AUAAUGCAGUCGACGCACUUUCGUUAAUUGAUUUUGAGAUGCUUGCAUCGAAGAUGAUUUUAACUAUAAAGUGAGUGGCGAACGGGUGAGUAACACGUGGGUAACCUGCCCAGAAGUGGGGGAUAACACCUGGAAACAGAUGCUAAUACCGCAUAACAAAAUUAACCGCAUGGUUGAUUUUUAAAAGAUGGCUUCGGCUAUCACUUCUGGAUGGACCCGCGGCGUAUUAGCUAGUUGGUGAGAUAAAGGCUCACCAAGGCAGUGAUACGUAGCCGACCUGAGAGGGUAAUCGGCCACAUUGGGACUGAGACACGGCCCAGACUCCUACGGGAGGCAGCAGUAGGGAAUCUUCCACAAUGGACGCAAGUCUGAUGGAGCAACGCCGCGUGAGUGAUGAAGGCUUUCGGGUCGUAAAACUCUGUUGUUGGAGAAGAACGUGUGUGAGAGUAACUGCUCAUGCAGUGACGGUAUCCAACCAGAAAGCCACGGCUAACUACGUGCCAGCAGCCGCGGUAAUACGUAGGUGGCAAGCGUUAUCCGGAUUUAUUGGGCGUAAAGCGAGCGCAGGCGGUCUUUUAAGUCUAAUGUGAAAGCCUUCGGCUUAACCGAAGAAGUGCAUUGGAAACUGGGAGACUUGAGUGCAGAAGAGGAGAGUGGAACUCCAUGUGUAGCGGUGAAAUGCGUAGAUAUAUGGAAGAACACCAGUGGCGAACGCGGCUCUCUGGUCUGCAACUGACGCUGAGGCUCGAAAGCAUGGGUAGCGAACAGGAUUAGAUACCCUGGUAGUCCAUGCCGUAACGAUGAAUGCUAAGUGUGGAGGGUUUCGCCCUUCAGUGCUGCAGCUAACGCAUAAGCAUCCGCCUGGGGGAGUACGACCGCAAGGUGAAA
rnacentral:rRNA from 1 species